GGGUGGUUUAUAAUUGGAUUUUGGAGAAAGGAGACCUUGGUCGCAUCAAGUUUCAUUUGCAGAUAUUGAAAGGAGGAUUGCCUGUGUGGGUGAGCUUUCGUUUUCAAUUGCUGAGAUGAAUGGAAAUGAAAUGGAAGGGUCUUUAGCUUCUGCUGGAAUGACUAGACUUAGCAUGUUUAAGGCUUGGUGGUAGUUUUGUCUGAGAUUAUUUUGUUGUUAAAGAGUGUGGUUGCUGUUAAUUUGUUG
rnacentral:lncRNA from 1 species